AGAGUUUGAUCAUGGCUCAGAUUGAACGCUGGCGGCAGGCCUAACACAUGCAAGUCGAGCGGUAGCACAGAGAGCUUGCUCUCGGGUGACGAGCGGCGGACGGGUGAGUAAUGUCUGGGAAACUGCCUGAUGGAGGGGGAUAACUACUGGAAACGGUAGCUAAUACCGCAUAACGUCGCAAGACCAAAGUGGGGGACCUUCGGGCCUCAUGCCAUCAGAUGUGCCCAGAUGGGAUUAGCUAGUAGGUGGGGUAACGGCUCACCUAGGCGACGAUCCCUAGCUGGUCUGAGAGGAUGACCAGCCACACUGGAACUGAGACACGGUCCAGACUCCUACGGGAGGCAGCAGUGGGGAAUAUUGCACAAUGGGCGCAAGCCUGAUGCAGCCAUGCCGCGUGUGUGAAGAAGGCCUUCGGGUUGUAAAGCACUUUCAGCGGGGAGGAAGGCGNCGAUUGACGUUACCCGCAGAAGAAGCACCGGCUAACUCCGUGCCAGCAGCCGCGGUAAUACGGAGGGUGCAAGCGUUAAUCGGAAUUACUGGGCGUAAAGCGCACGCAGGCGGUCUGUCAAGUCGGAUGUGAAAUCCCCGGGCUCAACCUGGGAACUGCAUUCGAAACUGGCAGGCUAGAGUCUUGUAGAGGGGGGUAGAAUUCCAGGUGUAGCGGUGAAAUGCGUAGAGAUCUGGAGGAAUACCGGUGGCGAAGGCGGCCCCCUGGACAAAGACUGACGCUCAGGUGCGAAAGCGUGGGGAGCAAACAGGAUUAGAUACCCUGGUAGUCCACGCCGUAAACGAUGUCGAUUUGGAGGUUGUGCCCUUGAGGCGUGGCUUCCGGAGCUAACGCGUUAAAUCGACCGCCUGGGGAGUACGGCCGCAAGGUUAAAACUCAAAUGAAUUGACGGGGGCCCGCACAAGCGGUGGAGCAUGUGGUUUAAUUCGAUGCAACGCGAAGAACCUUACCUGGUCUUGACAUCCACAGAACUUNUUGGUGCCUUCGGGAACUGUGAGACAGGUGCUGCAUGGCUGUCGUCAGCUCGUGUUGUGAAAUGUUGGGUUAAGUCCCGCAACGAGCGCAACCCUUAUCCUUUGUUGCCAGCGGUUAGGCCGGGAACUCAAAGGAGACUGCCAGUGAUAAACUGGAGGAAGGUGGGGAUGACGUCAAGUCAUCAUGGCCCUUACGACCAGGGCUACACACGUGCUACAAUGGCAUAUACAAAGAGAAGCGACCUCGCGAGAGCAAGCGGACCUCAUAAAGUAUGUCGUAGUCCGGAUUGGAGUCUGCAACUCGACUCCAUGAAGUCGGAAUCGCUAGUAAUCGUAGAUCAGAAUGCUACGGUGAAUACGUUCCCGGGCCUUGUACACACCGCCCGUCACACCAUGGGAGUGGGUUGCAAAAGAAGUAGGUAGCUUAACCUUCGGGAGGGCGCUUACCACUUUGUGAUUCAUGACUGGGGUGAAGUCGUAACAAGGUAACCGUAGGGGAACCUGCGGUUG
rnacentral:rRNA from 1 species